UCAAAGAGGGUGGAAACCACAGAGAAAAACCAAUUUAGGGCUAACACUAAUGUUAACCCUAAAGAGGGAUGUAAAGUUGUUGUAACUGGAAGCAAGAGGAAAGCAAAGGGGAAGUUGUGGAAAUUGAGAGUAGUGAGGAGGAGGAAGAACAAAAAGAGAUUGUUGAGCUAGAAAACAGUGAGGGAGAAGAAGAGGGAAAGAGAAAAGACAAUUACUGUGAACAGUCCAGAGAGAUUUUUAAUCAAGUAACUGUUGUGUUGGUAUCGGAAGGGUUAAUUUUUAAAAGGAGUUUAGCGCAGCGGAUUAAAAUAUAGAGAGCGUACAGCGUAACAAGUCACAGUUGAAACAAUUUUGCCUUUUUAAGUUAAACGAAUUUCUUUCAGAAAAUUUACCAAGCAGAUAACGUACGUUAAUAAUAAAAUGAGUAUAGGGCAAAAGAAAAUCACACAGGGAUUUUUAUACUGGUUCGAUUCAACAGAAUCUAC
rnacentral:lncRNA from 1 species